AUGGCCAUGGCACGGGAGCGUACAGGAGCACCCAGAGAUGCACGUGGGCUCGGCGGCUACGACGCGAGCAACAACGGCGGGGUAGGAGCAGGCAGAAGGAGCAGCAAAGCAGCAGGUAGGCAGCACGCCGGCAACAGCAAGGAGGCAGCAGCGCAAAACAGCAAAGCAGCAGCAGUACAAGGAGCAGCAGAGAAGCGGCAGGGCCGCGUGCGGCUGCACGCGGCACGCGUGGACGCGCGGUCGGGCAAGCCAGCACGCGGCCGGCGAGGCGCGGGCGUGCCGGAACAGGGCCGGCUCGCGGCGGACACGCGACAGGAGCGGGCGAGCAUGCGCGGAAGUGGGGCUCCGGCCAUGGCGAACAGCGACGCGCGGGGGCAUCUACGGUGA
rnacentral:rRNA from 1 species